UAACAGAGAGGUUUCAUUGGACCUCCCCGCUGCUCCCCAAAGCUGCGGGGAUUGUCUGAUUGGCCACCAGAAGGCUCUGAAGAUCAAGCAUCCUUCGCCAUCCUUCAGAAACAGCAUAAAGCCAAGUUCUGCUCAUUCAACCUAAUGUAUCUGGGUGGCUAACACUGAUCCAAGGACUGUUCUACCUAGAGCUUCCUCUUACCUGUGACGGGAGUUCCCAGUCCACCCUCUGCCAUGAAAAUCCUUUCCUUUCUCUUCACUCUCCUCUUGGUGGUAUUUUACGGAGCCGCAGGCUUAGCAAAACCUACAGGACCUUUUAUGCGAUGUGGAUAUCGUGGGACUUUCUGCUUCCCUGGGAUAUGCCCUCGGGGCAACACUUACCUGGGAGUAUGUCGUUUGGGGCAUUCUUGCUGUAAAUGGUUGUAGUGUGGCUAAUUGCAGAGGAUCUUCAGGGAUCUGGGGGUGAUCGCUUUUUACAUCGUUGGACUCAGGGAACCGUUGUACUGGUCAUUAUUCAUCAUUAUUCUUUCAAUAAAAGCAAGAACUGGGGAGGCUGUAUG